rnacentral:rRNA from 1 species
UACGUAGGUGGCAAGCGUUGUCCGGAUUUAUUGGGCGUAAAGAGCGUGUAGGCGGCCAGGUAGGUCCGCUGUGAAAACUCGAGGCUCAACCUCGAGAUGUCGGCGGAAACCCUCUGGCUAGAGUCCGGAAGAGGAGAGUGGAAUUCCCGGUGUAGCGGUGAAAUGCGCAGAUAUCGGGAAGAACACCCGUGGCGAAGGCGGCUCUCUGGGACGGUACUGACGCUGAGACGCGAAAGCGUGGGGAGCGAACAGG